rnacentral:lncRNA from 1 species
AAAAUAGGGAAAGAAAGGGCUUGUGGAGUACGGAAGGAGAAACAACUUCGCGGAGAGAGGGCUGGGCUGUUGGACUUGCUGGCUGGGAGCUACAGAUAUUUAGGAGCCUCUGGAACCUGGAAGGAACCUUACUGUAGAUACGGUGCCCAACCUUAUUGUAAAUGCACAGCUUUUCUGCAUUUCUCCCCUUCGUCUGCCUGAGAGCACCUGCUCAGCCUUGAGAAGUCAACUUGAACUUCCACUUCCACCUUGAAGCAUUUUCCUCCAUCCCCAGAUGAAACAACAGAUUCAGAGAGGAUAUGUAACCAAAGUCAUGCCAUCAAGAAAUGAUAACCAGGAUUCAAGUUCAGGUUCGACUCUGAUGUCCACCUCUACAAUGUCAGUUCCACUGGGGCUCACGGGUAUUGAUCAUGUGUCUACUGUGCAUGAGACUCCAACAUGGAAAUUGGAGGGCCAUGGAUGGAGAGAGAUCUCUGGAGCUGUGCACACUGUUAUGGCCAUUGGUGGUGGUCUUGCUCUGCUUCACUUUUUAUAAGCGGAGCUUUCGUGCUCUUCUUCCCUGGAGAAAAAUCUUUCUGAGUUCUGAUGAUGGGAUUGCAACGUGACGGCACCUGCCAGGCUCCCGAGGGAUGAGGUCUCUCAUCAGGCUCUUCCUCCUGCAGCAGCAUCUGUGUCCAUCAGUCCCAUUCCAGUUAAUUGCCUCCUCCUUGUGUCUGCUCGCCCUUCACUACCAGCGCUUUACCAACAGCAGUGUUUUGAAGAAUUGCCUCUAAGGGCUUGUCUUCAUGGUCAGACCAUGUGUUCCGUGAGGGCAUGGGCCAUGUCUGUCUUUUCAGCUUCAUAUUGCCCUUGUCAAGCUCUGCAUGGCACAUGAGAGACCUAAGUUCAUGUUUAUUAACUUUUUUUCUUGGGGGCUGUGCUCAGUCCUGACUCUGCACUGAGUGCCAGUGUCACAGUCUGAAGGAGGGAGAGUAGGAAAUGCAAUUAAAAUUAGAGAAAUUUGAAGUCCCAUAUAAUUAUGUUACUAAAAAGUCAUGCAGUUAUUCGAAUUGCAUCUCAUGGAUCUUCCCUGAGUUAGGGAUCUAUAGAAAGUAGUAAUGACCAUGAGAAUUUGGUCUUAGUCAACUGAGGGCCUUCAAUAUCCAAAGGUUUAAUAAAUUGAAUAAGUUCCAAAGUUUCACCAAGUCUUGAGGACUUUCCCAUCCAGAUCCAAGAUGUCUCAUCAUCUGGUUAUCUCUGGUUCUAACCCAUUCCUAGGUCCUAGUCAUCACCCUCAUACUCUGUCUGGAGCAUAUGCUCAUUCUUCCACCUUGAUCUGAUUCCCAACAGUGGCUCAUGCGUGCCCUACCUCUGAUCCUCAUUGAUAACCUGCUAAUCCCAUCCUGUCCAAGACUCUAGGGUUGGGUUCCAUUCCUGGCUUACAUGCUCUGUGGAAGCUGUACACCUGCUUUAAAGAGGAAAUUGCAAGAGAAUGGCUAUUUAACUCAAAGGAAUGCCCUUGACACUUGGGAGUCCUUAAGAUCCUGUCUAAACCUGAGGCUCUGCUUUUGAAGGGUGAAAAACUUGUCACUGCUGUGCAUUACUCAUAAUAAGCCAUCAAUAAAAAUUCAUUUUAAAAUG